rnacentral:rRNA from 1 species
UACGUAGGCAGCAAGCGUUGUUCGGAAUUACUGGGCGUAAAGAGUGUGUAGGCGGUGCUCUAAGUUCGGUGUGAAAUCUCCCGGCUCAACUGGGAGGGUGGCGCCGAAAACUGGAGUGCUGGAGCGCGGGAGAGGAAAGCGGAAUUCCUGGUGUAGCGGUGAAAUGCGUAGAUAUCAGGAGGAACACCGGUGGCGAAGGCGGGUCUCUGGGCCGAUACUGACGCUGAGGAGCGAAAGCGUGGGGAGCGAACAGG